AGGUAUGCUUAGGGAGGAGCUUGCGUCACAUUAGUUAGUUGGUGGGGUAAAGGCCUACCAAGACUAUGAUGUGUAGCCGGGCUGAGAGGUUGAACGGCCACAUUGGGACUGAGACACGGCCCAAACUCCUACGGGAGGCAGCAGUAGGGAAUUUUCGGCAAUGGAGGAAACUCUGACCGAGCAACGCCGCGUGAACGAUGAAGUAUUUCGGUACGUAAAGUUCUUUUAUUAGGGAAGAAUAAAUGAUGGAAAAAUCAUUCUGACGGUACCUAAUGAAUAAGCCCCGGCUAACUAUGUGCCAGCAGCCGCGGUAAUACAUAGGGGGCAAGCGUUAUCCGGAAUUAUUGGGCGUAAAGGGUGCGUAGGCUGUUAAAUAAGUUUAUGGUCUAAGUGCAAUGCUCAACAUUGUGAUGCUAUAAAAACUGUUUAGCUAGAGUAAGAUAGAGGCAAGUGGAAUUCCAUGUGUAGUGGUAAAAUGCGUAAAUAUAUGGAGGAACACCAGUAGCGAAGGCGGCUUGCUGGGUCUUUACUGACGCUGAGGCACGAAAGCGUGGGGAGCAAACAGGAUUAGAUACCCUGGUAGUCCACGCCGUAAACGAUGAGUACUAAACGUUGGGUAAAACCAGUGUUGAAGUUAACACAUUAAGUACUCCGCCUGAGUAGUACGUACGCAAGUAUGAAACUUAAAGGAAUUGACGGGACUCCGCACAAGCGGUGGAUCAUGUUGUUUAAUUCGAAGGUACCCGAAAAACCUCACCAGGUCUUGACAUGCUUCUGCAAAGCUGUAGAAACACAGUGGANGUUAUCAGUUGCACAGGUGGUGCAUGGUUGUCGUCAGCUCGUGUCGUGAGAUGUUGGGUUAAGUCCCGCAACGAGCGCAACCCUUAUUGUUAGUUGCCAACACGUAAUGGUGGGGACUUUAGC
rnacentral:rRNA from 1 species